GACAGAGGGUGCAAACGUUGUUCGGAAUUACUGGGCGUAAAGCGCGUGUAGGCGGCUAAGUAAGUCGGGCGUGAAAUUCCACGGCUCAACCGUGGAAGUGCACUCGAAACUGCAUAGCUAGAGUCCUGGAGAGGAAGGUGGAAUGCUUGGUGUAGAGGUGAAAUUCGUAGAUAUCAAGCGGAACACCGGUGGCGAAGGCGGCCUUCUGGACAGUGACUGACGCUGAGACGCGAAAGCGUGGGGAGCAAACAGG
rnacentral:rRNA from 1 species